rnacentral:rRNA from 1 species
GGGUGAGUAACACGUGGGCAACCUGCCCUGCAGAUCGGGAUAACUCCGGGAAACCGGUGCUAAUACCGAAUAGUUUGCGGCCUCUCCUGAGGCUGUACGGAAAGACGGUUUCGGCUGUCACUGCAGGAUGGGCCCGCGGCGCAUUAGCUAGUUGGUGGGGUAAUGGCCUACCAAGGCGACGAUGCGUAGCCGACCUGAGAGGGUGAUCGGCCACACUGGGACUGAAACACGGCCCAGACUCCUACGGGAGGCAGCAGUAGGGAAUCUUCCGCAAUGGACGAAAGUCUGACGGAACAACGCCGCGUGAGUGACGAAGGUUUUCGGAUCGUAAAACUCUGUUGUGAGGGAAGAACAAGUACCAAGUAACUACUGGUACCUUGACGGUACCUCACCAGAAAGCCACGGCUAACUACGUGCCAGCAGCCGCGGUAAUACGUAGGUGGCAAGCGUUGUCCGGAAUUAUUGGGCGUAAAGCGCGCGCAGGCGGUUCCUUAAGUCCGAUGUGAAAGCCCACGGCUCAACCGUGGAGGGUCAUUGGAAACUGGGGAACUUGAGUGCAGAAGAAGAAAGUGGAAUUCCAUGUGUAGCGGUGAAAUGCGUAGAGAUGUGGAGGAACACCAGUGGCGAAGGCGACUUUCUGGUCUGUAACUGACGCUGAAGCGCGAAAGCGUGGGGAGCAAACAGGAUUAGAUACCCUGGUAGUCCACGCCGUAAACGAUGAGUGCUAAGUGUUAGGGGGUUUCCGCCCCUUAGUGCUGCAGCUAACGCAUUAAGCACU